CACACACAAAUACAGACGUGUUGAUUGUUGCUGGAAUAUCCUCCAGCAAAUAUCUUUAUCGCUCAGAACAAAGCACAAGCCUUCCUCUGUGCUGGAGAAAAGCCCGGCAGGCAACCACAAGUGAACCAUAAUUGUUCAUAUCAAAGACACAUUAUUUGAUGCACACGGAUAUCAGGCAGUGAAAAUAGACCUCAACAAGAGGUGAGGAUAAUCCCAUCCUGCCAAAAAACAGCUUCCACAUGAGGAACUCCAAUCACUGCUCAGAAAUUAAUGAAAAAUCCUGUGAGAGAGAAUUGUGUCGCCCUCUGUUCAGAGAAUGUGAAUACCACAGAACCCUUUAUGCAUUUACUCCUUUGCUGGAUCAUAAGAACAAAGGCAGGUUAGAAACACAAGGUUGUUCUGUGGAGCUCAGGAGCAGCAAGAGUCAAUGAGCACCUUUUCUAACAUCAAAAAACGAUGUAUAGAAUUCAGCAACUCUCAUCAUUCAAACCGAAUCUAAUUACAGUGCAAAAUGUAAAUUAACGCAACGUUCUUUGGAGAGCUGCUCACAUCCAUAGUAAUAUGCCAGCUCUGGAAGCUGCCCAAGCAUUGAACAAGAGUGAAAUUCUUCUGAUUCAACAUCAAGUGCUACGGUCUGUUCACAAGGAAAAAGCAUUUUAGGUGUCAUUAAGGCGAAGUUUAAAGCAGAAAUUGCUCCAGCAAGAGAGAAAUUUCCAAGGAGCUUUUGGGAUGGGGUCUCACACACAGAGCUGGAGGUAAACAAGUCCUUGAGGAGCCAAGGGCUGGCAAGGUGCUGGAGAAGUGCAGGCUGACACACAGGUUUGAAGCACUUCAGCAAUGAAGACAAAUGAGAGUCCUCACUGUUGUCAUCUGGCUGCAGAAGCUCACUACCAAAGUUUUACAUUUUAGGAACCAAAAAAUGACCAAAUUAAAACU